rnacentral:rRNA from 1 species
GAUGAACGCUGGCGGCGUGCCUAAUACAUGCAAGUCGAGCGAACAGACGAGGAUCUUGCUCCUCUGACGUUAGCGGCGGACGGGUGAGUAACACGUGGAUAACCCACCUAUAUGACUGGGAUAACUUCGGGAAACCGGAGCUAAUACCGGAUAAUAUAUUGAACCGCAUGGUUCAAUAGUGAAAGACGGUUUUGCUGUCACUUAUAGAUGGAUCCGCGCUGCAUUAGCUAGUUGUUAAGUUAACGGCUUAGCAAGGCGACGAUGCGUAGACGACCGGAGAGAGUGAUCGGCCACACGAGAACUGAGCCGGGGACCAGGCUCCUGAGGGAGGCAGCAGUAGGGAAUCUUCCGCAGUGGGCGAAAGCAUGACGGAGCAACGCCGCGUGAGUGAUGAAGGUCUUCGGAUCGUGAAACUCUGUUAUUAGGGAAGAACAAAUGUGUAAGUAACUGUGCACGUCUUGACGGUACCUAGUAAGAAAGCCACGGCUAACUACGUG